rnacentral:rRNA from 1 species
UCAAAUUUAAAAUCUGGCGGUCUUCGGCCGUCCGAGUUGUAAUCUGGAGAAGCGUCUUCCGCGCUGGACCGUGUACAAGUCUCUUGGAACAGAGCGUCAUAGAGGGUGAGAAUCCCGUCUUUGACACGGACUACCAGUGCUUUGUGAUGCGCUCUCGAUGAGUCGAGUUGUUUGGGAAUGCAGCUCAAAAUGGGUGGUAAAUUCCAUCUAAAGCUAAAUAUUGGCGAGAGACCGAUAGCGAACAAGUACCGUGAGGGAAAGAUGAAAAGCACUUUGGAAAGAGAGUUAAACAGUACGUGAAAUUGCUGAAAGGGAAACGCUUGAAGUCAGUCGCGUCUGCUAGAACUCAGCCUUGCUUCUGUGAGGUGCAUUUUCUAGUGAACGGGCCAGCAUCAGUUUCGGCUGCCGGACAAAGGCCUCGGGAAUGUGGCACCUUCGGGUGUGUUAUAGCCCUUGGUCGUAUACGGUGGCUGGGACUGAGGAUCUCAGCACGCCUUCAUGGCGGGGGUUCGCCCACCUUCGUGCUUAGGAUGCUGGCGUAAUGGCUUUAAACGACCCG